rnacentral:SRP_RNA from 1 species
GCAAGGUCCCCGUGCGGCGGUACCUCGCCCAACUCCCCCAGGGCCGAAAGGCAGCAAGGGUAAGCGAGCUCUUCCGGGUGCGCGGGGACCCCUUCGC